UGUUGAAUCCAUCUUCUCGUUUUUCCUAUGCAACGGCGCAUCCUCCUCUUGAGCCCGCUGUCCUCUCCCGCCCCCGCUCCCCGCUGGCGCGGCGCAAGUGAACGAAAACACCACAGCCGCCAGCUCUCUUCUCAGACACGCCACACACACGCUGGCCGCAUAGGCCCCGCAAACCAGAACACGCGAAACAACGAAAAACUGAUGCUCUUCUCCUCGUCGCAGCGGAGAGAGUGGGGAAGGAGGCGGGGACAGGUGGACGCUGUGGUGGUGUGUGCUGUGCGAGUGUGUGUGUGUGUGUGGAAGGGGCGGGGGCGGACACAAAGCCGCUCGAUGAGCGUGGGCAAAAACAGCAGCAUGGCGGAACGGGUGAGGGACAACGCGAGUGCAUUGCGCGUCCUAGGUGUGUAAGUGUGUGUGUGCGUCUGUUGCUGCUUGUGUGCGCGGCGGCGUGAGGGAUGCGUGGCAGUGUGCGUAUGCCUGCGGAGAGGGACAGGAGAGGCCGCGCCUUGGCGUAAUGUGGGAAAGAGGCAGACACAGCGGAGGGUAGGAGCGCAAGUAGGUGGCUUCUGUGCAUGCGUCGGACGCCAGCGCAGAGGGAGCGGAAGAGGGAAGACGAUCGAAGGAAACGCUUGGCGACAAACCCGUCCUCGCGUUAUUCUUUUCCUCCUCUCUGCACGCGCCACCCAACCCCCUGCCUCUAGCAACCGAGUUGUUGCCCCCUCCCCCGGCCUCCCUUUCCCCAUGCGUGUCUCUUCCGCUUUCCCGUUGGGGAAGCGAUGGCGUGCGUCUGCCUUCCUUUCCAUCACAUUCUCCGUCGACUUCCUCUUGCCUCUCUCAGAGGUGUGGUUGGUGGUUCUCUAUUCUCUGUCUCCCAUAAAAGGUGCACAGACAUGCCUCGGCAGCGUCGAAGUUGCGACACGGCACUUGUGUGUGUGCGCGGACGCAGGGACACGGCACGCGUGAGAGGGCGAGAGGCGGAGCGGGAGAGCGAGUGGUGCGACGUGCGUUACAUCUCCAAAUCCUUUCUGCCUUUCGAACGCAGUGCCUCAUGCUCGGUACGUUUGCGCGGGGUGUGCGCCAGCUCGAAGCGCACUGACGCGAUGCGUUCGCCUUUCUCACGGAUGGAGUGCGCGAGGAAGCACCCGCGAACACCAGUGAUCAACGAAAGCCACAAGCGAAAGAAAUGGAAACACGACCGCUCUUGCGAAGUCGCGUGCUCUGGUUAAUGAGGGGGGCGUCUUUUGGGAGAUGAGCACGACGUAGCUACCGGCAAUGCUGAUGCGCGGACGCGAGGGGGAGGUUGCUUGCUACAAGUAAUGCGCACACCCGCCCCCUUCGCGUGAGCUGCUUUGGGUUUGCUUUAGUCUCCCUCUUCCCCUCUCCGCUACCCUCCCCCCUCCCUCCCACUCCACACAUUC
rnacentral:misc_RNA from 1 species